CCAACAGCUCCCAGUCCAAAAAUUGCAACAGUUUGACCCUUUCUUGGUUUAGCAACAUUCACGGUGGCCCCAAAACCUAAAAUCGGAGAAGCAAAGAUGAUUAGUGGGAGACAAGAAAUUUCUCACUUCUCAGUGUCAUUAACAUCAUUUAUCCCUUCUCCCCGAGGCUUAUACCUGUGCAUAUUCCGCAGCUAAUAGGGCAGACUUUGUCAAGCGGGGCAGUUGGGUUGAUCUUGGCAACCUGGCCUUCAUGCACAACAGUGUAUUGGCUAAAAGUUGAGGUGCCAACAAAGUGGUAGAUAGGCUUCCCGUUGAUGGAAAACCUGGUUUUGCCAUCCGCCAGCAUAACACCUCUAUCGCAAUUGAUUCUAAGCAGAUCGCACAUGUUAUUGGUUUCUUCUGACAGGCAGUGGCGACAUUUCUUGCACUCUCCGGUGAAGAUAGGGAGAACAUGAUCACCCGGUUGGAGAUCAGUCACACCCUCUCCCACACUCUCCACAAUCCUAAUUGCACCACCAAGUUCAGACAAGUCUAAUUAUUAAUAGAUAGAAUAGGAAUGUUAUUACUCAGAGUAGCAAGCUUAAAAGGCAAACCAGGCAUGCUUUCCUGGUAUAGGACAAAAGGAAUAUGUUACAAAUUUUCAGAUUGAAAAAUUAAAAUAUUAUUAGAGGUUGGUGUAAACACUGAAUAUUUUGUUAAAGGAUUUUUUAGAUAAAAUCACUAAACAAAAUGAUUUUAUAAGCUUUAUAUUAAUGAAAUAUAAAAAUUAGCUAAUAAAAUGGCAAAAUAGAUUAGCUUGUUACAUACCCUGAUGCUUCAUGACCAAGAAUGCGAGGAAACAGAGGAGUGUAUCCCUGCCAAAUUAAAAGAAGGAAAAAAUGGUUAUUUCAAGCACAAGUACCAUUGUCCUCAAAAUAGACUACAAACCAACAUAUAAAAUACCCACACUUUAAAAUAAUUAAAGCCAAAGAUUUUUCACAGAUUAUUUAAUUACACAAUGCUUUGUUAAUUAAAAACUUUUUUUUUUGUGUAAUUGACAUGCCUUUUUCCUCAUCAGAAAAUUACAAAACCAAUUAUGAGAGAUAAUUGGAGCAGAAAUCAAAAAGAAAAGCGUUACCUUACACUCCCAAUAGUAGACAUCAGUGUGGCAUAAAGAAGUGAA
rnacentral:lncRNA from 1 species